AUCCCUUGGGUACAGAAACCAAUUAUCUUUGACAGACACUCUCAACCUCGGAAUGUACCAGUCAUCACUGAUAGCAAAGACCAGUAAUUCUACAAAAGUAUUUGACAGUUUCUUAUUUUAAAACUAAGCUAAAUACAUACUGAUAUAACAUUGCCAUUGAACGCCUAGGCAUUUAUUUCAGAGAUUUAACAAAAAAAAGCAGCU
rnacentral:lncRNA from 1 species